GCUUGAAAGUUGCUCGCCCGCUGCCGCGGCGCCGCGAGGCUCCGCGGGCUCCGCCCCCUCAGGGCACCUGAAGACGCCGGGCGAGCGAGCGAGCGGCCCGCAGUGUCGGCUCCCGCCUGCCCCCGAGGUCGCCGUCCGCGCCGGCGCCGUCCUCCGAAUAACGAAAGAUCCCGGAAAGUUGGAGAAGAUAAAGUAUAUUCGGUAUCCAGAUCAGCAGAUCAAUAGAGCGGACUUCUCACUGACUCGCCCGAAGUCCUGUGGCAAGUCCUGGAGCCCUGCAGUUGGGAAAGGUAAUUUCCUGAGAUUGUAAACUAUCAUUCAUCCCUGUGUGAUGGCACCUGGCUGGCAAUCUUAGCACUCAGGUGGAGGCAAUAGCCCCG
rnacentral:lncRNA from 1 species